rnacentral:sRNA from 1 species
GGAUGGACAGGAGGUAAGUAGAUGGAGGGUGGGAAGGUCCCAGACCUAGGACAUUUGAGGGGCUGAAAGAGGACCUGUGGCUGGACUGGCCACCCAGAUGUCUGGGUAGGUGAAGGAGUGGGGGUGGGGAGGUGUUCUGUGCUAGGCACAGCCCGUUCUAUGGGAAAUAGGGCAAGAUGCCCAGGCCCAUGUCCUGAUCCUGCCAUUCUUCCCGUCCCUCAGAAGUGGAUGCACCCCCAAGUGACACCUACUGAUGACUCAAACCCCUGGUGGGCAGCUUUUAGCCGGGUCUGCAAGGACAUGUGAGCUCGCUGGCCAGCUCUCCUCACAGCCCAGCCCCCCACUCCUCUCCUUCCUGCUGCCCCCUCCCUUAUCCCUCCUCCCUCCUCCCACCUCUCUCCCACCUUCCUUUGUCUCUUCAAUUCUUCCCUUUCUCCCUCCCCAUUCAUCAGGCUCUUUCUCCUACAGGAAGCUUACUCUGGAGCCUGAGAUCAUGCCUGCUGCCACUGACAACCGCUAUAUCCGCGCGGUGGGGAUCCCAGCUCUAGGCUUCUCACCCAUGAACCGCACACCUGUGCUGCUGCACGACCACGAUGAACGGCUGCAUGAGGCUGUGUUCCUCCGUGGGGUGGACAUAUAUACACGCCUGCUGCCUGCCCUUGCCAGUGUGCCUGCCCUGCCCAGUGAGAGCUGAGCCCCGGAACUCCUCAACCUUUGCCCCUGGGGCUUCCAUCCCAACCAGUGCCAAGGACCUCCUCUUCCCCCUUCCAAAUAAUAAAGUCUAUGGACAGGGCUGUCUCUGAAGUACUAACAGCAA